CGGGGUGCAGCAGGCGCGAAAACUUUACAAUGCUAGCAACAGCGAUAAGGGGACCUCGAGUGCCAGGAUACAAUCUUGGCUGUCGUGAUGCCUAAAAAGCAUUACAUAGCAAGGGCCGGGCAAGACCGGUGCCAGCCGCCGCGGUAACACCGGCGGCUCGAGUGGUAACCGCUAUUAUUGGGUCUAAAGGGUCUGUAGCCGGCCGGAUAAGUCUCUUGGGAAAUCCAGCAGCUCAACUGUUGGGCUUCCAGGGGAUACUGUUCGGCUCGAGGCCGGGAGAGGUGAGAGGUACUUCAGGGGUAGGGGUGAAAUCUUGUAAUCCUUGAAGGACCACCAGUGGCGAAGGCGUCUCACCAGAACGGUCCUGACGGCAAGGGACGAAAGCUAGGGGCACGAACCGGAUUAGAUACCCGGGUAGUCCUAGCCGUAAACGAUACUCGCUAGGUGUCGGCCACGGUGCGACCGUGGUCGGUGCCGUAGGGAAGCCGUGAAGCGAGCCACCUGGGAAGUACGGCCGCAAGGCUGAAACUUAAAGGAAUUGGCGGGGGAGCAC
rnacentral:rRNA from 1 species